UACGGAGGGGGCUAGCGUUGUUCGGAAUUACUGGGCGUAAAGCGCACGUAGGCGGCUUUGCAAGUCAGAGGUGAAAGCCCGGGGCUCAACCCCGGAAUUGCCUUUGAGACUGCAUUGCUAGAAUUGUGGAGAGGUAAGUGGAAUUCCGAGUGUAGAGGUGAAAUUCGUAGAUAUUCGGAAGAACACCAGUGGCGAAGGCGACUUACUGGACACAUAUUGACGCUGAGGUGCGAAAGCGUGGGGAGCAAACAGG
rnacentral:rRNA from 1 species